rnacentral:rRNA from 1 species
GGCUUCCCUAAGGGGGGCCUGCGGAAGGAUCAUUA